UACAGAGGGGGCAAGCGUUGUUCGGAAUUACUGGGCGUAAAGGGCGCGUAGGCGGCCUGUUAAGUCGAACGUGAAAUCCCCGGGCUCAACCCGGGAACUGCGUCCGAUACUGGGAGGCUUGAAUUCGGGAGAGGGAUGCGGAAUUCCAGGUGUAGCGGUGAAAUGCGUAGAUAUCUGGAGGAACACCGGUGGCGAAGGCGGCAUCCUGGACCGAGAUUGACGCUGAGGCGCGAAAGCCAGGGGAGCAAACGGG
rnacentral:rRNA from 1 species